rnacentral:rRNA from 1 species
UGGGGAAUUUUGGACAAUGGGCGAAAGCCUGAUCCAGCAAUGCCGCGUGUGUGAAGAAGGCCUUCGGGUUGUAAAGCACUUUUGUCCGGAAAGAAAUCCUUGGCUCUAAUACAGUCGGGGGAUGACGGUACCGGAAGAAUAAGCACCGGCUAACUACGUGCCAGCAGCCGCGGUAAUACGUAGGGUGCAAGCGUUAAUCGGAAUUACUGGGCGUAAAGCGUGCGCAGGCGGUUUGCUAAGACCGAUGUGAAAUCCCCGGGCUCAACCUGGGAACUGCAUUGGUGACUGGCAGGCUAGAGUAUGGCAGAGGGGGGUAGAAUUCCACGUGUAGCAGUGAAAUGCGUAGAGAUGUGGAGGAAUACCGAUGGCGAAGGCAGCCCCCUGGGCCAAUACUGACGCUCAUGCACGAAAGCGUGGGGAGCAAAACAGGAUUAGAUACCCUGGUAGUCCACGCCCUAAACGAUGUCAACUAGUUGUUGGGGAUUCAUUUCCUUAGUAACGUAGCUAACGCGUGAAGUUGACCGCCUGGGGAGUACGGUCGCAAGAUUAAAACUUAAAUGAAUUGAC